AUGCCCCAGCACCCCGAAAUCAACAAGCUGUGCAGACGCUCGUACACUCCGACAGGCAGACAGGCACACCGGGCAGAGGACCGACAUUUACAUUCCACUCCCUCUGCAUCCUCCCUUCCUCCCUGGGCGCCCCGCCGGUGUUUUCUCACUGCGCGUCUGGGGCGCAGACGCCCCCGCCCCUCCCUGGGGGACCUGGGCUGCUCCUCUGAGCCCCUUCUCAGCCCCUCUUGCAGGGAUUCCCUCGCCCCCGGGGGACGGCGCCUCCUCCUCCCAUCGGCGUGGCGCGCCCAGCACCACCGGCCAGUCCGCCAGGCGCCUGCAUUCCGGUGCAGCCCUCCCAGCGUUCGCCGUCUGUCCGCGCACUCCUACCCGCAGCCUCUGUCCAUCCCCGUCUCACCUCGACGCCGGCCUCGAGACUGCUCCCGCUGCUGCUGCCACCGCCGCCCCGUUGCAGCAGCCGCAGCCCGGGAGGGAGCGAGUCAGCGAGCGAGGGAGGGAGGCGGCGGGUCUCCCCUCCCCUCUGCUCGUCCCCUCCUUUCGCUCCUCUCAGGUCCCCUCCCCUACGCUCCGCUGCUGCCGCGCACCGCCCCCGCCCCUCGCUCGCCUCCCGCCCCUCCCGGCCAGCCCCAGGGAGCCACGCGUGCCAGGCCCCGCGUUACCCGGGCAACCGGCCGGGUAACCACUCGCGCCCCCUCCCUGCCCCUUCCCACGCGCGCCUCCUGGGGGUGCCCCCUUCCCAAGCCCUGGGCCCCUCCCGCCAACGGUCACCGGGGUGUCCUGGCAGAGGCGGGGGGCUGGGGGAGACGGAGAGGGGUCUGCGAGGAGACAGGACCUGUGAGACAGGCGGGACCCGGUGGUGGCACUCCUACAAGCAGAAGGCGGGGAGGGGAAAUGAGGCAAAACUUGGGGAGGCUGCUCCAAGGAGGAGCAGGGUGGGGUUUUAAGAAAAGGGAGCCUGCAGUACGGGAAGUCCCUCUACCCUCGAGGAAGCAGCAGCAGAAAUGGGUGCUGGAAGGCUCCCGGGUCCCUGGAGCAGGGCUCAAAAGGGAAUUCCAGGGCCGAGGCUGCAGGGGCAGUCUGGAACAGGAGGGGGCUGGGGCCCUGGAGCCCCGUAAAUGCUGA
rnacentral:lncRNA from 1 species